GAUGAACGCUGGCGGCGUGCUUAACACAUGCAAGUCGAACGGAAAGGCUCCUGCUUGCCGGGGUACUCGAGUGGCGAACGGGUGAGUAACACGUGGGUGAUCUGCCCUGUACUUCGGGAUAAGCUUGGGAAACUGGGUCUAAUACCGGAUAGGACAACUUUUUGGAUAUUGUUGUGGAAAGCUUUUGCGGUAUGGGAUGAGCUCGCGGCCUAUCAGCUUGUUGGUGGGGUAAUGGCCUACCAAGGCGUCGACGGGUAGCCGGCCUGAGAGGGUGUACGGCCACAUUGGGACUGAGAUACGGCCCAGACUCCUACGGGAGGCAGCAGUGGGGAAUAUUGCACAAUGGGCGCAAGCCUGAUGCAGCGACGCCGCGUGGGGGAUGAAGGCCUUCGGGUUGUAAACUCCUUUCGCUAGGGACGAAGCUUUUUUGUGACGGUACCUGGAGAAGAAGCACCGGCUAACUACGUG
rnacentral:rRNA from 1 species